rnacentral:lncRNA from 1 species
CAAAAACCACAAAAAUCACAAAUCUCGAUGCAAUAAAAAUAAAUGCAGAAAAUAAAAAGCACACCGAGAUUUACGUGGAAAAACUCCAAUUUGGAGAAAAACCCACGGAACCAACAUGCGAAAAAAUAAUCCACUAAGAGAAAAAAUUACAAGGUGAUUACCGACUCCACGGACUCAACCUCUCUUAACCUCUUAUGGAUCUCGCGCAAUCCUCCGGGUUGUCCACGCCCUCAAUUUCGAAUCCACGAACGUCUCGUACACGUCCGAAUCCACGAACGCCACUCUAAUCCACGAGCCCACGAUCCAAAUCCACGAACUGCCGUCAAACACGCCGAAUCCACGACGCCAUCAUGAAGAACAUCAUGAAUAUGG